AAUAUGUGGCAUACGGCUCAGUAACACGUAGUCAACAUGCCCAGGGGACGUGGAUAACCUCGGGAAACUGAGGAUAAACCGCGAUAGGUCAUCACUUCUGGAAUGGGUAAUGACUUAAAUCUAUAUGGCCCCUGGAUUGGACUGCGGCCGAUCAGGCUGUUGGUGAGGUAAUGGCCCACCAAACCUGUAACCGGUACGGGCUCUGAGAGGAGGAGCCCGGAGAUGGGCACUGAGACAAGGGCCCAGGCCCUAUGGGGCGCAGCAGGCGCGAAACCUCUGCAAUAGGCGAAAGCUUGACAGGGUUACUCUGAGUGAUUUCCGUUAAGGAGAUCUUUUGGCACCUCUAAAAAUGGUGCAGAAUAAGGGGUGGGCAAGUCUGGUGUCAGCCGCCGCGGUAAUACCAGCACCCCGAGUGGUCGGGACGUUUAUUGGGCCUAAAGCAUCCGUAGCCGGUUCUACAAGUCUUCCGUUAAAUCCACCUGCUUAACAGAUGGGCUGCGGAAGAUACUAUAGAGCUAGGAGGCGGGAGAGGCAAGCGGUACUCGAUGGGUAGGGGUAAAAUCCGUUGAUCCAUUGAAGACCACCAGUGGCGAAGGCGGCUUGCCAGAACGCGCUCGACGGUGAGGGAUGAAAGCUGGGGGA
rnacentral:rRNA from 1 species